CUGGCUCAGAGCGAACGCUGGCGGAAUGCUUAACACAUGCAAGUCGCACGGGGGCUUCGGCUCUAGUGGCGGACGGGUGAGUAACGCGUAGGAACGUGUCCUGGGAUGGGGGAUAACGCUGGGAAACUGGCGCUAAUACCGCAUGUCUGCUGAGGCAGAAAGCCUUUGGGUGUCUUGGGAGCGGCCUGCGUCCGAUUAGCUAGUUGGUGGGGUAAAGGCUUACCAAGGCGACGAUCGGUAGCUGGUCUGAGAGGACGAUCAGCCACACUGGGACUGAGACACG
rnacentral:rRNA from 1 species